GCCUGGCUAGCUCAGUUGGUAGAGCAUGACACUCUUAAUCUCAGGGUUGUGGAUUCAAGCCCCAUGUUGGAUG
rnacentral:tRNA from 1 species